rnacentral:lncRNA from 1 species
CCGAAACAUCUUCCCCAACCCAUCCCUGAGGGCCCGAUGCGCUGAAGUCACCGGUCAGCGGUCCCCCGGCUUACCCUCGAGAGGCGCACCGAGCGCGGCCCCGUAGCAGGCGCGAUCCUGGGGGCCUCCGGCGCCGGGCUGCCCAAGCGAUCGGCUCUCCUGGCCGCCUCCUCCUCGUUGUCCUCGGCCCAGUCCCUGCCGCCCGGCGGCUCCGGUUCCCUCCACAGCAGCCGGCCGGGCGGCACCGGGGCGCACGCGGCAGGCUCGGCUGGGGCGCCUACUCCUCUUUCGGCUGCCCUCCCACCGACUCGGUGCUCCCGGGCUCCGGGUCCGGGAUUCUGGGACGCGGGGUUCGUCGGGGCGCCCCGGCUUCCCCGCGCUCCCUCCUGCGCCUCCCUCCCGCGCGCGGCCCCUCUCCCGGGGCGCCUCACUCGUAGCGCGCGGCCGUCAGAGGCUCGGGGCACGCGGAGGCGGCGGCCUGGUGGGCCCCGGGGCGGCGGGCGGGGGCGCUGCUGUGGACCGGGGCACUGAUGCGGGCGCCGCGGCGCGGCCUCUCGCCAUGGCUCUCGGCGGGCGGGCGCUUCGCACCUCCCCUCCGCGCUGCCGUCACUGCCCGACGCGCGCCGAGCCCUCCCCUUCCCCCGCCCCGCCUGCAGGCCCGCGCCGCCACCUCCAGGACGCCCGCCGGGCGGAGCGCGUCGCUGCUGUCCCGUGCCGCGCCCCUCUAACCUCUCCGGCAGGUGGACGGCUCCUGCGGCUUUACUGGCGUCUGGCCUGGAGAAGUCCCGGCCGAAAAUAUCUGGAUCGUGAAAGUUAAGGCUGCUGAGUCUACAGCAGCGGCCUCAUCCCUGCCCAAAGGUCAUGGAGGACACUGGGAGGACAUGGAGAAGACUCAGACCAGAUCUGAAGACCCAAGGAAACUAAACCAGAGAAAAACCUGGUUUCCAUUACUGGAAGGGGACUUGAAGAGAUGGUGUAUAGUAAAGAUUGGUUCAAGCAGGAAUCAUCCAUGGAUGGUGGCUCUAGGGGGUUGUGGUUUAUUGUGGGGCAGAUAUUUGCCUGGGUUAGUGUGUCUCUCCAAUAGGUGGUUUAGGCUUAUUAGUAGCAAGAGAAAAGUAUUCAGUAUACAAAGGAGCAGGGAGACAGCACCUUUACCAGGAUCAAAACUGACAUCACCGAUGAAAGCAGACGGAUAACAUGUCUUCAGAACACAUCACCUAGACAGUAUUUCCAGGGAAAAUUCAGAACCUAAAUCUAAUGAUAAUGAAACCCCAGACAAACCAAAAUGAGGAAUAUCUAUUUUAAAAGGAGGCAGGGACUGUAUUCUUCAAACAUGUCAAUGUCGCAAAAGAAAGCUUGGGAAAUGUUCUAGAUUAAAGAGUGCUAAAAAGUCUUGACAACUAAAUGUGAUACCUGGUCCUAGACUGGAUGUUUGGGGAGGGGAGAUGCUAUAAAGAACAUUCCAAUGGACAAAAUUGGAAUCCUGAUAGUAAAGUAUUGGCUCAAUGUUAAAUGUGCUGCUGUUGAUACUUGUAUUAUGGUCGUGUACAAGGAUAUCCCUCUUCUUAGAAAUACACUCUGAAGUAUUUCGUAGGGAAGGCAAUGGCACCCCACUCCAGUACUCUUGCCUGGAAAAUCCCAUGGAUGGUGGAGCCUGGUGGGCUGCAGCCCAUGGGGUUGCACAGAGUCUGACACGACUAAGCGACUUCACUUUCACUUUUCACUUUCAUGCAUUGGAGAAGGAAAUGGCAACCCACUCCAGUGUUCUUGCCUGGAGAAUCCCAGGGACGCGGAAGCCUGGUGGGCUGCUGUCUAUGGGGUUGCACAGAGUCGGACACGACUGAAGUGACUUAGCAGCAGCAGCAGCAGUGGCCUUCAGAGAGUAACGAGUGAUUCAAAUGUUGUGCUCAUGGAAGCAUUGAGAACAAUUUGUGCUGCUGUUGAUUCUCACUUAUUUUGCAUUUUUCUUUAAUAAUGUGCAGUUAAUCUGUAUUUCUUAUGACUGAAUGUGAAUCUACAAUUAUCUCAUUAAAAAUUUCAGUUACAAGGAGUUCCCUGUUGGCCUCAUGCUUAGGAUUCCAGGCUUUCAUUGCCUGGAACUUGGUUCAGUCACUGGUUGGGGAACUGAGAUCCCCACAAGCCACCCAGUGCAGUCGAAAAAAGAAUUUUUUUCGGUUCCAAAAAAAUAGAGAUCAUGUAUGUGCCAGGUUAUGGCUGCCUGGGAGUUCAAAGAGCAAACGUGCGGAGCUCCUAGUGGGUUUAGAGCCGACAUGGAGCUGUUACCAAUAGCGAGGGUUUUUUUUAAGGACAAAAAGACUAUGUGAAGUAUAACUGACAGAUCAGGUUCCUUCCAGUUCUGUAAUUUAAGAAUCCAAGAGCUGGGGGAUCUUUGAGAUCAUCUAGUCCAACCUUCUCAUUUUCAGGAAACUGCGGGCAGAAAAGUGGUACAUGACCAGAGGAGCAUCAAAUUAGUGGUAGACCCGUAACUACAACUCUUGUCUGCUGAAAUAUGUCCAGUGCUCUUUGCACCUUUACCAGCUGCCUGUCACUCUCCAUAUCCAUGAGAUAGAGUCAAGGUUGGUACAGAAUUUUGAAGUCAUUCAUUCAGCCAUUUUGAGCCCUUGCCUGUGGCCUUGUGGGAGCAGGGUCCUGACGGUUGGUUCCCAGCACCAGAUGACAGACGUGUGGAUUCCGCUCCUGAGGAGGAGGGGCCAGUCUCUCUCUUACACUCACAGCUUGGAGGAAGCAGGUGGCAGACGGAACCCCUGGAGAGAGUCAGCCCCUCCAACCCCAGCUAAGGGCCAUGAGCUACUUGAAGCUGCUGGUAGCCUGCUGCUGCUACAAGUCAAGAGUGCAGGGCCCUGGGAAGGAUGCAGAAUGGAUACAUGGAAGAGAAAAUAGUCAUUGCCCUGGCAGGUCCCAGCCUCAAUAUCAGGCAGAGGUUCUGCACCAGAAGUGACUCUGGCCUCCCUUGGGUCAUGGAAAGUCACUAUUCUUUCCUUUUGUCAAAUCAAAUCAAAAUCAACACAUGGUUACAGAUAUUUGUCAGGCUCUGAAUUAGUUACUGUAGGAAAAUUCAUACAAACAAACAAACAAACAAAAAAUAUCUGAUCCUUGGCCUUCAAGAACCCAAAAUAUAGCAAGGGACCCAGGAUGGAAAUGUAGGAAAUGACCCGACCAAAGAAUUAAGAUGCUAGCUUUGUUGGGUCAGGUUCCCCUCAAAAGCAGUGUUAGAGAAGGGCUUGAGGGGAGAGAUCCCAUGGAAUAGAGGUGGGAAAAGCAAUCAGGACCACACAGAAGAGGGAAGGAGAGAAAGCCCAUCCAAGAGUGCUUGGUCUAGCUGGUAACCACUAUGAUCAACUGAGCUCAGUCCCACUGUGGUGGCCCUCUGAGGAACUGCAAAGAAUGCAAGACAAAAGGAGGGCACAUCUAUCCACCAGUUCCUGCCUCCCAUUGGUCAAGUGGAUGCUGAGCAAAAAAGUAAACCAAGCAGGUAUGACACAGGACAUACAUACGUAAAAUGAUGCCUGACGUACCAGCAAAAAAGCAGCCUGAGGGCAGGGAUUUUUGUCUGCUUUUAUCACAGUGUUGCUUUCCCAGCACCAAAACCAGUGCCUAAUUCAUAAUAGAUGUCUAAUCAAUAGAUACAGAAUGGAUCUAGCUUAGGUUGAGGAUAGAAAAAUUAUAGAAAAUAGAUGCAUAGUCAUUUUCCAGCAAUUUGUAUAUGUAUGUGCCUAUUUGUGCCAGGUAUUGGAUGGAUAGUCCAGGUAUUGGAUAUGGUGACAGUAUAGUGAAUAAAACAGGUAUCAGCUCAGUUCA